rnacentral:tRNA from 6 species
AGGCCCGUAGUUCAACUGGUAGAGCAUCGGUCUCCAAAACCGAGUGUUGGGGGUUCGAGCCCCUCCGGGCCUGCCA